rnacentral:lncRNA from 10 species
CAAUGUGCUGAACUCUGGGGAUCAGUGAGGAAGAAUUCAGACAAGUUCCUGCUGUCACGGAACUUACAUCCCAGCAAGGAGGAAUACAGACAACAAAUUAAAACACCUGGGGAGGAGUGGAGACAGAUACUAGUACAUUGGAGAAGCUCAAGUCCUCCAGAUGCAUUCAAGCCAGAACACAGAGAAGAAGACAUCGAAGCCGAGGGCAGAGAGCUGAGGGGCCCUAACACUUGCACCUGCCUUGCUCAAGAGCAGCCCCAAGGGUUCAGGGGUGUUUCUGUCUCCACCACCUUCACAGCAGUACCUGAUUCCCUACCGUGAAAACUCUUACUAAAUAAAACCGUCUUCCCUGA